rnacentral:rRNA from 1 species
GACGAGCCUCACAAACGUUAUUCGGAAUUACUGGGCUUAAAGGGUGCGUAGGCGGCGUAGAAAGUUGGGUGUGAAAUCCCUCGGCUCAACCGAGGAACUGCGCCCAAAACUACUAUGCUCGAGGGAGAUAGAGGAAUGCGGAACUUAGGGUGGAGCGGUGAAAUGCGUUGAUAUCCUAGGGAACACCGGUGGCGAAAGCGGCAUUCUGGAUCUCCUCUGACGCUGAUGCACGAAAGCUAGGGUAGCAAACGGG